CUUAGUUGUAAUUGAGAAUAGAUCUCCUCUCUCUUUAUGAUCUACAGAUUGUAAACUCAAGACCAGAACAUGCAGGAACUUUUUAACUGUGCUUUGAAGACCCGUGUACUUGGCGGCCGCCUCUUCUGAAAUGAAUGGUUCUUCUUGAGGCAGUGAAGGCAAGACACUGAAUACCCAAUACUCCUGGUUGGCUGUGGAGCAAAGGGGGCACACAACAUGAAAUGGGUGUCCAGAUGCCACUGUAUACCUGUCUGGAAGGAUGAAGCACAUGAACUGGAACUCAUGAAGCCUGCAGGAUCUCUCUCCAGGAUCCCUCUCCAACUGGGAGUGCCAUUGGCAUAAAGGCCCCAAGGACUUCAAUGGUCCAUAUAGUAGAGCCAGCUUCCUUUCCUCCUCUGGAUCCUCUCAGCCUCUGCCCUUCUGAUAUGUAGAAACAAGGUCUACCAAGAAAGUCAAAGGUCCACAACUGCCGGCAACUCAAAAACACUCCUUACGAGGAGCCCUACAGCCACAUACUCUCUUGAGAACCAGAGAAAGAAAAGGAAAGCAAUGAAUGGGACACCCAUCCAACAAACACAACAACAGAUACCAGAACAUUGAACUGCAAUCUUCAUGUUUAUUACUGUUCUACUCAUAAUAGCCAGAAAUCAGGAACAAACUAGAUGUUUGUAAAUGGAAAAGUGGAUUGAAGAAAAUGUGGUACAUGUACACAAUGGAAUAUUGCUGAACUAUGAAUAUAAUCAUGGUAUUCACAGGUAAAAAAUCCCAAGUGAGGUAACCCAGACCCCCCAAAAUAAAUAUGGCCAAGAGAAAGUCAUGCACAGAAAGGAAGGCACAAAGUGGAGUCAGACUGGCAUCUUCUCUCUUUGUCAGGGAUUCAU